CUCAACACCACUUCCAAACACACUCUCUCUCACAGACUCACAGUCCCACCUUAGCUUAAACCCUGGCCUGAACCCAAAACCCCCAUUUCAAAAACAUUCCACCUCUAAUCUAAUCAAUUCUUCAAAGAAAGAAUAUGAGCAAAAGAGUGAUAAAGAUUCUUCUCUUUCACUCACUCCCUUCUUUCUCUUCCUCUCUUUCUCUCAACUCCAACCCCAAAUCUUCAUCCAUUAUCUCCCGCCAAAAUCUCCUCUCCGUCAUUUCGUUUCCAGAUUCGUCUCCACCUAUUCCCCUGACAAUCUCGACGGCCUAAUCGAUCCGGAGGACCCCUUUUCACUUGAUGAUUCGCGGGUCAAGCCCGCUUCAGCCGAAGAUUUUGCCUUUCUGCAGGACUCUUCCAUGGAUUCCAAUGCUGUUAGUGGGUCUUCUGGUGGAAAACUCGACUCCGGUAAGUGUUCAAAUGAUGCUGCUUUGAUAGUUAAUGCAAUUCAAGUAACGGUGAUGUGUUUGGUGACAAAACCCACAAGUUUCUUAGGCAGUUUAGGGACAGAUUGAAUGAGACUUUAGUGGUUGAGGUGUUGAGUCUUGUGCAAAAUCCUGAAUUGGGUGUCAAGUUUUUUGUUUGGGCGGGGCGGCAAAUUGGGUAUAGUCACACUGGAGUUGUGUAUGAUGCAUUGUUAGAGAGAUUAGGGUGUGAUAGUAAUGAGAGAAUACCGGAACAAUUUUUAGGAGAGAUUAAGGAUGAUGAUAAGGAAGUGCUUGGGAAGUUGCUUAAUUUUUUGAUUCAUAAGUGUUGCCGAAAUGGGUUGUGGAAUUUAGCAUUGGAGGAGCUUGGGAGGCUUAAAGAUUUUGGGUACAAGCCCACGAGAUGGACUAAUAAUGCAUUGGUUCAAGUGUUUCUUAAAGCUGAUUGGUUGGACACGGCUUAUUUGGUUCAUAGGGAGAUGUCGAGUUCAGGGUUUAGUAUGGAUGAGUUUACCUUAGGUUGUUUUGCACAAUCUCUCUGCAAAGCGGGGAGGUGGAGAGAAGCUCUCUCGCUGUUUGAGAAGGAAGAAAUUGUGCCCAACACAGUUCUUUAUACAAAGAUGAUAUCUGGGUUGUGUGAAGCUUCUCUUUUUGAGGAAGCUAUGGAUUUCUUGAACAGAAUGCGGACUAGUUCUUGUAUUCCCAAUGUUGUGACAUAUAGGACUUUGCUUUGUGGGUGUUUGAGGAAAAGACAGCUUGGUAGGUGUAAGAGAAUUCUUAGUAUGAUGAUCACAGAAGGUUGUUAUCCUAGUCCUAAGAUUUUUAAUUCUCUUGUUCAUGCCUUUUGCAGAUCAGGAGAUUAUUCUUAUGCCUAUAAGUUGCUUAAGAAAAUGGUCAAAUGCAAUUGCCAGCCAGGUUAUGUGGUUUACAAUAUCUUGAUUGGUAGUAUAUGCGGCAAUGAAGAAUUACCAAGCUUAGAUGUUUUAGAGUUGGCUGAGAAGGCUUAUGGUGAGAUGCUUGAUGCAGGGGUCGUAUUGAAUAAGGUCAAUGUCAGCAAUUUUGCUCGAUGUCUUUGUGGUGCUGGAAAAUUUGAGAGGGCAUAUACUGUUAUUUGUGAAAUGAUGAGUAAGGGAUUCAUUCCUGAUACUAGUACCUAUGCUCAAGUGAUUGGCUUUUUGUGUAAUGCCUCCAACGUAGAGAAGGCCUUUUUAUUGUUUGAAGAAAUGAAAAGGAACGGUAUUGUUCCUGAUGUUUAUACAUAUACAAUUUUAAUUGAUAGUUUCUGUAAAGCUGGUCUUAUUAAACAGGCUCGCAACUGGUUUGAUGAAAUGGUAAGGGAUGGUUGUGCCCCUAAUGUGGUGACAUAUACUGCUCUUAUACAUGCCUACCUUAAAGCUAGGAAACUUUCCAAUGCAAAUGAUCUGUUUGAGAUUAUGUGUUCUGAAGGUUGCAUUCCUAAUGUUAUAACAUAUACGGCUUUGAUUGACGGUCACUGUAAAGCUGGGGAGAUUGAAAAAGCAUGCCAAAUAUAUGCGAGAAGAGGUAAUGUGGAAAUUUCUGAUGUAGAUAUGUAUUUUAGAAUUGAUGAAGGCAAUUCCAAAGAGCCAAAUGUGUUUACAUAUGGAGCAUUGGUUGAUGGUUUGUGCAAAGCUCACAAGGUCAAAGAGGCCCGUAACCUGUUGGAUGCUAUGUCAGUGGAAGGCUGUGAGCCAAACAAUAUCGUGUAUGAUGCUCUUAUAGAUGGAUUCUGCAAGGCUAGGAAGCUAGAUGAUGCACAAGAGGUGUUUGCUAAGAUGUCAGUCCUAAUGUCUAUACUUAUAGCUCUUUGAUUGACAGGUUGUUUAAGGAUAAAAGACUGGAUCUUGCUUUGAAAGUCUUGUCCAAAAUGCUAGAAAAUUCUUGUGCACCAAAUGUUGUCAUAUACACAGAGAUGAUUGAUGGCCUCUGUAAAGUUGGAAAGACAGAUGAAGCCUAUAAGCUUAUGCUAAUGAUGGAAGAAAAGGGGUGUUAUCCAAAUGUUGUGACUUAUACUGCAAUGAUAGAUGGCUUUGGGAAAGUGGGUAAAGUCAAAAAAUGUCUUGAGCUCUUGAGAGAAAUGGGCUCAAAGGGUUGUGCUCCAAAUUUUGUCACCUACAGGGUUCUUAUAAAUCACUGUUGUGCCACUAGCCUUCUAGAUGAGGCUCAUAAACUCUUGGAUGAAAUGAAACAGACAUAUUGGCCAAGGCAUAUAUCAAGCUACUGUAAGGUCAUUGAAGGUUUCAACCGAGAGUUUAUUAUCUCACUUGGGCUUUUAGAUGAGAUCAGUGAGAAUGAUUCUGUUCCUAUCGUUCCGGUAUACAGAAUACUGAUUGAUAGUUUUAUUAAGGCUGGGAGAUUAGAAUCAGCUCUGGAGUUGCAUGAAGAGAUUCCACCAUUUUUCCCUUUAAAAGCUGCCAGCAAGAAUAUGUAUACUUUUUUGAUUGAAAACCUCUCCCGUGCAGGUAAAGUCGUUAAGGCUUUUGAGCUGUACACAGAUAUGGUAAGGAUGGGUGGUGUUGCAGAGCUGAGCACAUUUGUUCACCUUAUUAAAGGGCUCAUCAAUAUUAACAAGUGGGAAGAAGCACUUCAACUGUGAGAUAGCAUAUGUCAGAUGGAUAUCCAUUGGCUUCAACAAGAAGAUACAUCUUCCAGAAAUUAGGCUUUUGAGCAUAUCUAUAUUUUUUUCUCAAGGUUGAUGUGAUAGCAUAAUGGUGCAUGUUAAAGUUUUUGCUCAGAUAAUGACUACAUUGGUGGAAACUCUUGAUGCACACAUGAAAUUCCUAGGAGGUAAUAGGCUGAUAGCUAUUGUAUAAUUUGCAUUGCAAUGAAAUGAGUAUAAAAAAAUAUGGACAUCUUUGAUUGAUUGUUUGAAGCAACUAGAAGCUGAAAUAAAGCUUGAGGGAAAUAUUUU